UUUUUUUUUUUUUUUUUUUUUUUUAGGGUUGCACUUGUGGCAUAUGGAGGCUCUAAAAAUAAAAAGAAAGAAAGAAGGAAACAAAAGCAAAAACUUUCAUGCUAAAAGGCUUUCAAGAAAACCAAAGACAAGUGACAACUAGGAAAAAAAUAUCCAUAACUCACAUUAUAAGCUAUUACCAUAUCUCAUUUCAUUUUAUUUAUAGUUGCUAGAGUCAACAGGAAGGGACAAAAUUAUUCAGGAGAGAUGGAGAAAAGACAUGAACAGAUAGUUUAUGGAAAAGGGAAUGUAUACGACUCCAACAAAGAUGUUUAACUACUCAUAAUGAGAGAAAAGCAAAUGAAAACUGAUAUAUACCAUUUUUCAAUGAUAGAGAUUGGCAAGAUCCAGACGCCUGAUGACUUACUGUGUUGGUGAGGCCACGAGUGCGUGUCCGCGUUCACCAGCGGCUGGUGGGAGUGAAAGUGGUAUAAUAUGUAUGUACGGAAGGCAACUUAGCAAUAACUAUAAACUUUCAAAUAGGUGCAUUUGGCAAGGAAUUCUCACUUCUGGAAAUUCAUACUGCAGAUACGAUAAAGAAUCUAAGAAGCUGCUGAUGCACUGUUAUUUUUAUGAAAAUACCUAUAUUACACCACCCAAGGUAAGAUAGAAUGCAAAUUCAGAGAUGUCAGGAUAUGAAAAGUGAAUUGAAAAUCAGAGCAAUACUCUCUUUGUGCACAUGCCAUGCAAUAUACAUAAAAGAUUAAUUUCAGAAUUUUUUUUUGCCAAUAGAAAAUAUUGAGAAAAAACAUAAAUGUCCAUCAAUAUGUUCCCAGUUAAGUAACUUACAACACAACCAUAGACUGAAUAAAAUACAGCUCUAAAAAAGAAUGAGGAGGGAGUUCCUGCUGCAGUGCAGUGGGUUAAGAAUCCAACUGCAGCAGCUUGGGUUUCGAUCCCUGGCUGGGUGCUGUGGGUUAAGGAUCUGGCAGUGCCACAACUGUGGCAUAGGUUGCAGCUCUGGCUUGGAUUUGAUCCCUAGCCUGGGAAUUUCCAUAUGCUGUAGGAGCAGCCAAAAAAAAAGAAAAAAGAAAAAAAGAAU
rnacentral:lncRNA from 9 species